UGUUCUCUUCCCACAGCUGAUGUACUUAAGCCCCAUCCUUCUCUGGUAUAAAGAACGUUGCGAUGAACAUCCACUGGCAAUCAUCUUCCUACUCAUCUUUGAUUGUUGCUAGAAGGGAAAUUGCUGGGUUCAAAGGAUGCUGACCACUUGUUAAGACUCCUGGAGCACCCAGAUUUCCAUCCUUCUUAAUCUCGUGUUCCAUUACAUUGCAGAAUGUAGUGACAGCCAAGAAUUUCCAUUCAUAAAACUCAAUGUAGGGUUUUCUUUGGAAGCUAACAAAUGACUUCAGGCUUGUCAUCAGACCAUUGCACUGUGCUGACUCUGAAGAAUUUAAAUAUGCCUGACCAGGUGCUUGAUAACCCUAAACGGAGUUUCCUGCCGGGCUUUCUCUUGUAUGAUGUUGAGGCCGUCACGGUUUGUUGAGCAGAGGAGUGAGUGCUAAAAGCUGGAGUUCAGCAGAACCACAGUGAUGCCUCCACCCCGG
rnacentral:lncRNA from 10 species